rnacentral:rRNA from 1 species
UACGGAGGGUGCAAGCGUUAUUCGGAUUUACUGGGCGUAAAGGGAGCGCAGGCUGCCAGAUAAGUCAGAUGUGAAAGCCCGGGGCUCAACCCCGGAAGUGCAUUUGAAACUGUUUGGCUUGAGUAUGGUAGAGGGAAGUGGAAUUCCAGGUGUAGCGGUGAAAUGCGUAGAUAUCUGGAGGAACACCGGUGGCGAAGGCGACUUCCUGGACCAAUACUGACGCUGAGGCUCGAAGGUGUGGGUAGCAAACAGG